rnacentral:lncRNA from 1 species
AUGUCCUAGAAGGGGACUAUAGAAUCGUGGUGACUUCCUUUCCCCUCCUGUUCCCUUCUCAGACAUAAAGUAUCUCUCUUCUGCAUCAUGAACCUGAUGUCAGGAUGAUCUGCUCAAGCCUAUGAUACAAAGUAGCAACAAACUGAACCCUCUGAAGCUAUGAGCCAAGACAGAUACUUUAAAGAACCAGGGUCUCCCAGCUGUGGACUAGAUCUGAACCUGCUAUGGUAGCAUCUCUCACCUCAUCCCAGCUCUCUGUUCUGAUUUCCAGACAUAAGCAAGCUACUCCAGGGGCCAGGCAUAUGCAUGGCACUGUGUUACCCUGAUAAGAAGUGAAUCUUUCUCUCCAGCUCCUGAAGGGAAGGCUCAACAACCCAUUUAGACACAACUCUGUGUCCAUGAGGAGGUGAGACCUUGAAUGGCCAAGCCUGGACUCUAGCCAGGAUGCUCUAUGACACAGCUCAGAUGGCCACGGCAUCAAACACAAGGAAGGGAAGAGUCUCAAAGAAGUCACAUUAUGGAAACAGGAAAGCACGGUGAGCAGGUUACUGUUGAGCUGUCGUCUGCCACAGACAUGUGGAUUGAUGAAGCUCCACAUUGGAUCUAAUUAUAUCUGAACACCGUGGAAUCUGCCAUCACAUCCAA